rnacentral:rRNA from 1 species
UACGGAGGGUGCGAGCGUUGUCCGGAAUCAUUGGGCGUAAAGGGCGCGUAGGCGGCCUGUUAAGUCGAACGUGAAAUCCCCGGGCUCAACCCGGGAACUGCGUCCGAUACUGGCAGGCUUGAAUCCGGGAGAGGGAUGCGGAAUUCCAGGUGUAGCGGUGAAAUGCGUAGAUAUCUGGAGGAACACCGGUGGCGAAGGCGGCAUCCUGGACCGGCAUUGACGCUGAGGCGCGAAAGCCAGGGGAGCAAACGGG